AUCCAAGAUGGCGGAAAGAAAACAGAAGCAUCGAUCGGACAGAUCUGAGAGAAGAUCGAGUUCACACAGGCGAGAGAAAAACCGAAAGUUAAGUGAGACGGAGGAUAUUGAGAGAAGGAAGCAUUACGAGACAUUCUAUGAGCAGCCACCACCAGGAAUAAUAAAGGAACAUGAGGAGAGGCCAGACGACUGCAUUCCUGAUCUUCCUGAAAACCAGGAAGCAAAGAAAUUUCUUGCAACAGCUCCAACAAAAGGCUUAUGGAUGCCACUUGGCAAGGAAGUCAAAGUUAUGAAGUGCUGGAGAUGUAAAGCAUAUGGCCACAGGACAGGGGACAGGGAAUGCCCAUUAUUCAUAAGUGGAAAUCUCAGUUCCGAGAAAUUUAGGAUGGCUCAUGAAGACCCCAUGUAUGAGUUUGUCAAAUCCAACAAAAAAGCUGAGAAAGAAAUCAGGUAUGGAGCUACGCUGAAACGGCUUUUAAGGAAGUUUAUUGAAGGAGAGUGUAGAUAGGGGACGGGGUGGGAGACAUGUUUGAUUUCUGUCCUGUGUCCAUUAGUAGGAGCGUACAGUGAUAUAGGUUCUUUAUAGUGAUAUUCGUACUAUGAGUGAGCCUUUUCAGAGGCUGGCUUGUUUUCGAUAAGCCUGGGGCCAAUCAGGUACGCGUCAUCAGAAUGAAAUAACUGUUCAAGGAAUGGCACAAAAUUUUUCUUUCGUAAACGAUCUUCGCUAUUCCAGCACUAUGAAUCCUGCAGCUUCCAGAUAGACAAGUGAAGCUGCUAUAGUAUUGGUUUUAGAGACGACAAAAGGCGGGAGCGUCUUUAUUUACUGAUAAUAUUUUUACUACUUCUACAGCAUUUAUUAGGAUUGAACUUUCAACUUUGGAAUUCAAAUCAAGAGGCAUGGGGGCAAUUCAGUUAAAACAGCCUGGACAACUUUUCCAUGGAUUAGAAUUGAACAACUGAAAGCGUUAUUGGAGGAAUCUACAACAUCGGAGAGUGAUUCAGAUGAGUCUGACUCGUCCACUGAGAAAAAAAGAAGAAACAAAAGGAAAUCCAAGAAAGAGAAGAAAGUAAAA